rnacentral:lncRNA from 1 species
AUGUGUCAGAGGCCCUUCCUGGAGCCAAUGACUCUCCUGAAAGAAAGCACUCUGGGUUCCCCACCUACUCUGUCAUCUUGGCAGCUGGCAGCAACUCAUUCUGCACCACAAAAUAUGAAGAAAUUUGGAGAAGGAGGAAAAGUCUUACCAGUAAAUAUAACCAAGGCAUCAGCAAAAUGAUGAAACUGAUAUAUAGCUGUUUUCCUCUUGCAAAAGACUUUUUCAUCUGACAAGAUACACACGAUAGAUGAAAACAUUAAAUGUGAAAAAUAUGUAAGUAGCAGGUGCUGAGCUUUGUAUAAUGAGUUGUGUGUUCAUUUCUUCUUGAAGGUGAGAAACAGUUCAACCACAGCUGGGGUGGGUGGAGAAACAUAAUUCUUGGUGAUGUAUAGUGAAAAUCAUAGCCCACCAGCUCAGCCAUACAGCACUUGAAGAGGUCAUGAUUAUGAAGGGCCGCACACAAGAGCCAGAUGUAUACCAGUGACAAGGAAUACGCAUUUUCUUCAGAUGUCACAAGUCCUCUUUUUCAUUGUUGAGUAAUGACUAUAACAGCAUCACUUAGUUCAACCAACAGUAUCUGUGAUGGGGCAGAAGAAAACCUCAAGACAGUAUUAGUGUUCAAAUAACACGAGUUUCACAAACACCCAGAACAGUUUCUUUUUUGCAAUGAUUCAUAGGUGAUUUAAAAAAAAAAAAAAAAAACUGUAAGACAAUUUCCUGUGGUGAAUUUAAAACCAUAGCUUUUGAAUUCUUGAAAAACAAUGCUUUCAAGUUGGCCAUCUCUAUGAUGCUGGUCAUCUUGGUGUUUAGGUGUUCAGAGCCAUUAAACUACAACAAAGCACAUAAAUAUAAAGUGACAAAAAGAGUCCUUGCCUGUCUCUCCGAGCCAGCAGCUUCUCAUCGGGAAUAACGGUUUCAGAGGGGAGGGUUAGAAGAUUCCUUAGAUAGAUUCAUGGUGGCUUCCAGAUGGCUGAUACAAAAGCCAGAGGGAGGCUUGGGUAGGCAGUCAUUUGAUAGCUGG